CGUAGGUGAACCUGCGGAGGGAUCAUUACACAAAUAUGAAGGCGGGCUGGAAUCUCUCGGGGUUACAGCCUUGCUGAAUUAUUCACCCUUGUCUUUUGCGUACUUCUUGUUUCCUUGGUGGGUUCGCCCACCACUAGGACAAACAUAAACCUUUUGUAAUUGCAAUCAGCGUCAGUAACAAAUUAAUAAUUACAACUUUCAACAACGGAUCUCUUGGUUCUGGCAUCGAUGAAGAACGCAGCGAAAUGCGAUAAGUAGUGUGAAUUGCAGAAUUCAGUGAAUCAUCGAAUCUUUGAACGCACAUUGCGCCCUUUGGUAUUCCAAAGGGCAUGCCUGUUCGAGCGUCAUUUGUACCCUCAAGCUUUGCUUGGUGUUGGGCGUCUUGUCUCUAGCUUUGCUGGAGACUCGCCUUAAAGUAAUUGGCAGCCGGCCUACUGGUUUCGGAGCGCAGCACAAGUCGCACUCUCUAUCAGCAAAGGUCUAGCAUCCAUUAAGCCUUUUUUUCAACUUUUGACCUCGGAUCAGGUAGGGAUACCCGCUGAACUUAAGCAUAUCAAUAAGGCGGAGGA
rnacentral:rRNA from 1 species